UGCAUGAGGAUCCCUGGCCACUACUGUGAGCACAUGUCUAAAGUAGUGAUUACACACGUCUUUCUAGCCAUUCCCAUUCAUAUCUGCAAUGGGCACUGUGAUAAGCAGUCAGCUGCCAAUCACAGCCUCCUAUUGCUGCUCAAGCUAAUACUUCCUCAUUAACCUGAACAGCACAGAGGGAAUAAGUUUCAGGGGACUCUUGUGUGGCAUUACAACCAGUUUAGCUCUGACUGAAAAGAUGGUGUAAAUGGAUGGCAGACACUACAAUCACGUCAAUGAAAUAAAGAAGUUACAGUGCCUACAGUGUCCCUUUAAAAACAACCAACAAACUGGAGAAUACAGCUGUAUAUCUACAAAAAGAAAAUAGAAAACAACAAU